CUUGUUGGGUGUCUUCCACUGGUGGCCAUCACAGAAUGGUUACUGACAAGAUCAGAGGAAGCAUAUGUCACCUUUGGUUCUCUGUACCUUGUUGCCAUCCUCAGCAGUUCAGUGGUGACAAGAGUAAAUUGGCUCUCUUAGGAAUGAUCCCAUGGAAUAAUUGCAUGUAGAGUUGAGCGACUCUGGAGUUCAGGUCUGGCUUUCCUUUCUCAGAUGCUUUGCCUCUCUCAGGAUGCUCCCAUCUCCAUGCACCACCAAAUGCAGGACAUCCGACUCUCCUUUCUGCGUAGACAGCAUGUCCUGCUCCAGGUCCAUCCAGGUGCUCAUGCCUUCAAUAGCUCCUGCAUCCUGGACUUUGGUGUUGCAGAGUUAUGGAACCAGCCCAGGAUGUCUGUUCAUCAAGAGAAGAAUGGAUGCAGGACAUGUUUCCAUGGGAAGCAGCCAGCAGGGAUGCGAUGCUUCUGAUUACAGCUAGACCUCACAGACUCUUUUCCCUGUUGCUGACAGUUGUACGAAAACCCAGCUCCCGGAGGAUCGUGCGCCACCCGGUCUGCCUUAGAAUGGAACGGUUCUGCAUCUGUACCGCCCCAUGCCUGGUGUCUAGAAUGGCCUGAUGCUCCAUGAAGAGGGACGCGGCUGAGGGAGAGGAGAGUGUCGACAUCACAUUCAAAUUUAGAAAGUGUUUGGAAGGAACAGUCUAAAAAUGCUUGCCUGGAAGGGGAAAAAUGCUCUGACAAAAAGCAAAAACGAGACAUACUGGACCCUUGCUCCAUUUAGACAUCAGAAAGGAAAGGUGCCAAAAGAGUAAGCAGAGCGCUGGGGAGCGGCUCCAGUCAGAAGAGUGGAUUCCAGUCAGAAGAGCGCUUGCUUAUAUUUGAUUUUGCAGAAAUCACAUUAAAAAGCUGCGUGUGGUGGUGCAAGUACUUGUAAUCUCAGAGCUGGGAAAGUCGAAACGCACAGCUAGACAGUCUCGGCAUAGCAAAAGGCUCAAGCGAAAGACGCUGUCUGAAAAACAACAAAAAAAAGUGAGGCUGCCGAGGUGCUCGUGGAUGACGGCACUUGCAGAUAA
rnacentral:lncRNA from 1 species